rnacentral:rRNA from 1 species
UACAGAGGUCCCAAGCGUUGUUCGGAUUCACUGGGCGUAAAGGGUGCGUAGGUGGUGAGGUAAGUCGGAUGUGAAAGCUCGGAGCUCAACUCCGAAAUGGCAUUGGAAACUACCUUGCUCGAGGGUUGGAGGGGGGACUGGAAUGCUUGGUGUAGCAGUGAAAUGCGUAGAUAUCAAGCGGAACACCAGUGGCGAAGGCGGGUCUCUGGACAGUUCCUGACACUGAGACACGAAGGCCAGGGGAGCAAACGGG